rnacentral:misc_RNA from 1 species
UCGAAGCCUAGAAAGCACGACCGCGAAUGAGUUUACAAUCGCGGGGGCGUCGGAUGGCCUCGUGCUUCCCGGCGCUUUCCGCUCGGCGGGCGAGGAGACUUGCGCUCUUUGCCAUCCAAAACUAACGAACCCCGGCGCGGACAGCGCCAAGGAAUCAAAACGAGAAGCGCUUGACCCUCCGGCCCGUUGAUCGGGUUGGAGGGCCUUGUCAAUUCAUGGAAUAACAUAACGACUCUCGGCAACGGAUAUCUCGGCUCUCGCAUCGAUGAAGAACGUAGCAAAAUGCGAUACUUGGUGUGAAUUGCAGAAUCCCGUGAAUCAUCGAGUCUUUGAACGCAAGUUGCGCCCGAAGCCAUUAGGCCGAGGGCACGUCUGCUUGGGCGUCAUGUACUGUGAUGCCCCCCAUGCAAGCAUGCGGGGCGAAUCUUGGCCUCCCGUUAGCCCAACACGCGGAUGGCUUAAAAAAGAACCUCGAGAAGGAAAAACGUCGCGACGAGUGGUGGUUAAGAGGCAUUUGGCCCCGAAACUUAGCGCGUCGCGGCGACUCCCUUCCUCCCUUGCUCGGAAAAGACCUUAGCGUAGCGCUUUUAGCGCCGCCAGCAUC